AUGCUGCUGCACCCGCUGAGUUUCUCCAGCAUUUUUGUACCCAGUGAAAUAACAUUGUUAUGUGCUAUUAAAGUUGCCAGGGGUAAACGGGACGAAAAAGUUUGGGAAGCCCUGCACUAUAGGUAUAUCCCCAAGUGAGACCCACUGUGGGCAGAUCCCGGUCUG